AUGAGUAUGGUAUAGUGGUUUAAGUGUCGGACUACAACUCUGGAGAUCAGGGUUCAAUUCCCCACUUGGCCAUG